AGGUUCAGCUGUGGACAGCCAUUUUAUUUUUACAGGGAUGAACUCACUUGACACUAGUGUCAGUCUGAUGAGAUGGGUGGUUUGGAUGUCUCAUUUCUCAGGCAUGAAGACUAGGGUAAAGAAGUGCUCAGAUGUCUUCAGGACAGUGCCGGGCGCUUCUACAAAGUGACUUCCGUUCCACCUUGCACCUCCAGUGAGUCCCAAGGCAGGAGAAGGUGAAGGAACAGUAACGUGUCAACGCAGUUCUGUAAGGGAACUCGUAAAACUAAUUUUGCUGAAUGCACAUCAAAGCUCAGUUACCGAACCAAGACUGGAUCCAUCGCUGGCAAUGUCUCCCUUGCCCCAAAAUUCCAAAAAUAAAGCAGGAAGCUGAGAAUCUCCCCACAACAUCCACCCAAGUUUUCCCGGGAUGUGAUCCGAUCACUGCCAGCUCCAGCUGCAGCCCUGUGUCCUGUCACUUCUAUCCAUGCUCUUCUGACGUACACACCUGAUGCGGACCCACAUACCCAUUUCCAGGCUGAAAAUCCAGAAGCCAGGAGUAUUCUGGCAUUCAGGUAUCCUUGUCACCAUGACAUAUACAUUGGAUCUCUAAUGACAAAUAUAUGUCACCAUUUGCCAAAAUCCAGUUCUCUGUUCUGUUUAGAGUUCCCAGCCCCGCCUGGAUUCCAUCACGACCUAAUGUGGACGUGAGAUCACAUCUCAAGUGCUGAUUCUGUGGUGUGAGAUUAAUGUGGUCCUCAGUCUGUCUGUGACUGUGAAGCCUGGCUGACACAUCUGUCACUUUAGCACUGAUGUGAGGCCGGGCAUUUCAGUGAUAGGAUGCUAUGACUGUGCUCACUCCAGCUUCUUUCUCAGAAAGUCAACAGUACUCUCUGGCUCCUGGCCCAUGGCCUAGACUAGUUGAUAUUUGAGCUCCAAUGCCAAUAGUGCUUUUAAUCCAUUAAAAAUGUUAGAAAAAUCACUUUGGCUUCUGUCAGUUCAUCCCAUUACAACAAUAAAGUGCUUGAACUAUGGGAAGGUAAAUGAAAGCUGUUUUCGGAAUCCAAGGUAUGUCUAUAAAACCAGUUAAUAUUUAUUGAAAUUAAUGUGCCAGGAACUAUGCUGAAUGCCUCAGACAAGUACCUCAUUUUAUCUUCACAGCAGUCCAUGAGUACU